rnacentral:rRNA from 1 species
UACAGAGGGGGCUAGCGUUGUCCGGAAUCACUGGGCGUAAAGGGCGCGUAGGCGGCCUGAUAAGUAGGGGGUGAAAUCCUGCGGCUUAACCGCAGGGCUGCCUUCUAAACUGUCAGGCUUGAGCACAGUAGAGGCAGGUGGAAUUCCCGGUGUAGCGGUGGAAUGCGUAGAGAUCGGGAAGAACAUCAGUGGCGAAGGCGGCCUGCUGGGCUGUUGCUGACGCUGAGGCGCGACAGCGUGGGGAGCAAACAGG